GCGUGGGUGGUUCAGCGGUAGAACUCCUGCCUUCCAGACAGGGGACCCAGGUUCGAUUCCUGGCCUACGCA